GUGCGCGGCAAGCAGCUCUGCAGGUGCCGGGAAACGUGUUCUCCGCAGGUGGCUCACCGAGCAGACCCGCGUCCAGUUCCCUGAUUCCUCCUGCUCAGCGGGCAGAGCCGGGGGGGACCCCAGCUCCUGCAAGUAAACAGUCCUAGAAGCCCUGGAACCAUCGUGCUAGGUUCUCCCAGAAGCCCAUUGGGAAGGAGCUUGAUGAGACAGGUGGGUUCCAACGCCAGCUUCUUGGCUCAGCAGCCAGCAGUCUCCAAAAAGGUUUCACGACCUCCUUGGAUCUCCGUCUUCUCAUCUGCAGAAUGGGACUAACCAUAGCCAGCUGUCCCAGUCACGCGGGAAAUCACCUCUACAAUGAGCUCCUGGCACCAGUGGGGCUUGAAACCACAACCUCAAGGUCAAGAGCUGCACACUCUACCAACAGCCAGUCAGACGCCCCCAGACAUCUUUGAGUGGAAGUCGGAGGAGUCCUAUUCAAACUCUACAAAAUAGCCUUUAGUCCUCUUCCAUGUGUCCUUGGCACACUGAUUAGAAAACUUAAAGAUACUGUACGUUUUCUCUUUAAUUCGAUAAAAAAAAAAAACUUUGGGAAAAGCCAGCAAUUUUCUUUGUAGCAAUUGUG
rnacentral:lncRNA from 1 species